rfam:Pichia pastoris GS115 chromosome 4, complete sequence
GCCAUUCUAGUAUAGUGGUUAGUACACGUCGUUGUGGCCGACGAAACCUUGGUUCGAUUCCAGGGAAUGGCA